AACUCUCGUCCUUCAGGCCGACAAUGAAAAACUCCACCAAAAAGUCUGAGGUUAGACUUGGGAUUUGAUUAGACAACGUUCAAACUUUGUUUGGAAGUAAUAAAUGGUUUACGUUUGUCGUAGCCAAUCCUGUUGGCGCUUUGAACUGAAGGAUGAACGAAUGCCCUCAUCUUCGGCUGACUCUCGUUUAGAGGAAAUUUUACCCCUACCCACUUACUUCUUUAGGCUCCGCACCUUUAAUGGGCUGGGCUCUACUUCGCAAAUGAGAUUCAUGAAAGCCCGUUGCAACCACCUUUCGAGGAAAGGCGGGGCACACAUCGCUUUCUUCUUCAAUCUCUCAUCUGGAUAGAGGCCUAUUCCUCGUCAGGACUGGACAAUUCUCUUCUUUUUACGGGGCAUAGAGAGUCAGCAAAAUGCACAGGUGGGCCCUUUUGACCCUUUAGGAGGAAAGCGGGCGGACCAAGAAAGAAGAGAGGAGGGUUCCCCACCAGUCAAGAAAGGAUCGAAAAAGAAAAAAAGAGUAGGAUGGGUGAGUUUCUUGAUCCCGUACCGUAGGCUUCUUCAGGCGAUGAGGCAAGAUCUAAUUGUCCGGCGUCACUCUAUAAAAUGAGCAUCGGCAAAGAGUGGAGGCUGGCUGUCAAAAGAAGGACCAGGGCUGGGUCAAUCAAAGCCAAAUGCGAUAUAGCAUCCGCCCUCUUCCACUUUUGCAAUCCGGGGUUCUUUGAACCGGAAGCGAGGAGGUGCACAGCAGGCUCUUAUGUCUAGUUUCGAAGCCAAUACACAUACCAUGACAGUCAAGCCUGCCCAAUACAAUAUCAACCCGAAAGCCUUCGAUGGGAUAAUAGCCCCAUCCUAUGCGCAUUGAUGAACACAUCUAACUCAUGCGUAGACAGUGCCUGAAUGUGAGGUUAGGCGUGCAGGAUCACCUGUCUAUUUCGAUGUGUCGAAUUUGGGCGCGAACGGUAUUUGAACUCUUCAAGGCACCUUCUCCUUUCACUUUGACCUCUCCAGGGGAUCUCUUGUCAUCCACCUACGGCGAAGAAGAAGCUCAACAAGUUGCUGCUUCUGUGCCUAUCUCUCUUCAAUCAAUUUGAGUGACCCUCAAGAUCGCAACGAACUCCCGUAAUGGCCGGAACAGCCUCUUUACCUGCCAUAUAUCUAAGUCAAUUCGAUGAUUAUUAGUUUCUCAUGAGAGUGUGAGUCACCUUCUACGCGACUUUCUUACAACAAUGUGUUCUGCGCAGCCAACCGCCUUGAAGUGAGCGAGCAAGAGCCAGUCAACAAGCCAUAGCCAGUGGAUUGGUCUCGGUAAGGGAGGAAAGAAAGAGCUUUCAUUUUUGAAUCAAUAAUCUGAGGCCGGCUCAAAAUAAUCCCCGAUUGACUCGAUCAGGUUGUCGGAUUUCGGAGUGGUAGAAGAAGUCGAAGCAAAGUCCUGUCCUAUUGGAAAAGACACUACUACAACAUUUCUCUAAAGAAUCUCCUCUACCGAGUCAUUGUCCCCCACAUUUGGUUCUUCCCAUGAUGCAAGACGAUCAGCCUUAAAAAAGGGAGCUUCCAGUAGGGCUGUCGUGGAGUAGUUGAAAAGUGAAGAGAAGACCCUCUAUUUCCUUAUCAUCCAAUUUUGUAGCGGGCAGAGUGAGUCAUGAUUCCUCCUAUUACGAAUAGAAAGCGAAAUUCCUUGUCGGGUAAGUUCCGACUCGCACGAAAGGCGUAACCAUCUGGGCGGAGAGAGGCUCGGUGAAAUAGACAUGUCUGUGAAGAUGCGGACUACCUGCACCUGGAGAGAAAGACCCUAUGAAGCUUGACUGUUCCCUGGGAUUGGCUUUUGGCCUUUCCUGUGCAGCUUAGGUGGCGGGCGAAGAAGGCCCCCUUCCGGGGGGCCCGAGCCAUCAGUGAGAUACCACUCUGGAAGAGCUAAAAGCCCCGGUGAACGGCGGCCGUAACUAUAACGGUCCUAAGGAAGCGAAAUUCCUUGUCGGGUAAGUUCCGACUCGCACGAAAGGCGUAACCAUCUGGGCGGAGAGAGGCUCGGUGAAAUAGACAUGUCUGUGAAGAUGCGGACUACCUGCACCUGGAGAGAAAGACCCUAUGAAGCUUGACUGUUCCCUGGGAUUGGCUUUUGGCCUUUCCUGUGCAGCUUAGGUGGCGGGCGAAGAAGGCCCCCUUCCGGGGGGCCCGAGCCAUCAGUGAGAUACCACUCUGGAAGAGCUAGAAUUCUAACCCUUGUGUCAGGACCUACGGGCCAAGGGGCAGUCUCAGGUAGACAAUUUCUAUGGGGCGUAGGCCUCCCAAAAGAUAACGGAGGCGUGCAAAGGUUUCCUCGGGCCAGACGGAGAUUGGCCCUCGAGUGCAAAGGCAGAAGGGAGCUUGACUGCAAGCCCCACCCGUCGAGCAGGGACGAAAGUCGGCCUUAGUGAUCCGACGGUGCCGAGUGGAAGGGCCGUCGCUCAACGGAUAAAAGUUACUCUAGGGAUAACAGGCUGAUCUUCCCCAAGAGCUCACAUCGACGGGAAGGUUUGGCACCUCGAUGUCGGCUCUUCGCCACCUGGGGCUGUAGUAUGUUCCAAGGGGUGGGCUGUUCGCCCAUUAAAGCGGUACGUGAGCUGGGUUCAGAACGUCGUGAGACAGUUCGGUCCAUAUCCGGUGUGGGCGUUAGAGCAUUGAGAGGACCUUUCCCUAGUACGAGAGGACCGGGAAGGACGCACCUCUGGUGUACCAGUUAUCGUGCCCACGGUAAACGCUGGGUAGCCAAGUGCGGAGCGGAUAACUGCUGAAAGCAUCUAAGUAGUAAGCCCACCCCAAGAUGAGUGCUCUCCUAUUCCGACUUCCCCAGAACUUCCGGUAGCACAGCCAAGACAGCGACGUGUUUUCUGCCCCUGCGGGGGUGGAGCGACAGAAGUUUUGAGAAAAGAUGAGUGCUCUCCUAUUCCGACUUCCCCAGAACUUCAGGU
rnacentral:rRNA from 1 species